rnacentral:rRNA from 1 species
UACGGAGGGAGCUAGCGUUGUUCGAAAUUACUGGGCGUAAAGCGCACGUAGGCGGCUUUGUAAGUUAGAGGUGAAAGCCUGGAACUCAACUCCAGAACUGCCUUUAAGACUGCAUCGCUUGAAUCCAGGAGAGGUGAGUGGAAUUCCGAGUGUAGAGGUGAAAUUCGUAGAUAUUCGGAAGAACACCAGUGGCUAAGUCGGCUAACUGGACUGGUAUUGACGCUGAGGUGCGAAAGCUUAGGGAGCAAAGAGG